rnacentral:misc_RNA from 1 species
AACUUUUGACAACGGAUCACUUGGCUCUCGCAUCGAUGAAGAACGCAGCGAAAUGCGAUAAGUAAUGUGAAUUGCAUGAAUCUGUGAGUCAUCAAGUCUUUGAACGCACCUUGCACUUGGGGCGCAAGUCCCAAGUAUGUCUGUUUGAGAAUCGCAACCAUUAUCGCACACCCCCUAGGUGGUGCGCGGACUUGGCCCUGUCCCUUGGACUGGGCUUGAAUGCAGCAGGCUAGGCCCGCCGGCUCGGCGCCUAGACAUUGUGUGAUAGAGACUCUGUGUCUACUCACAAUGCGUCUAGGCGUUCGGCGGGGACCGGCCUCAUGCACCACCACCACUGGUGGUGCACUACUAACUUUGAUCUCAAAUCAGGCAAGGCUACCCGCUGAACUUAAGCAUAUCAAUAAGCGGAGGAU